rnacentral:lncRNA from 1 species
AUUUAACCUGUCAAGAUAAGAAUUGGAAGAUAGUCAAAACCCCUACUCGCCAGAACCCAACUCAUCCACCAUGGGAAUUUUUUCUUGGUUCCGUGGAGGCAGCAACAAUAACAAAAAGGAAAAUGCUCCGGUGGAAAAAUCUGGCCCGAAAUCCGAAUCCGUGUCCUCCGAGGUACCGGGCAUGAACGGAGCGAUGGAGGUCCGACGAGCGGCCCUUUCGGCUGAUUUAUCGGUUUUCGAAUUCGGGUCAGUUGCCGCUUCGGCCGACAAGGUUACAGUGAGUGGGUACUGCCCCGUUUCGGACGAGCUAGAGCCCUGCCGUUGGGAGAUCCUGCCUGCGAGUGGCUCGGAUGCACCCCAAUUCCGUGUCGUCUUUUGAGUCGGUUGAUUUGAGAGAGAAUUAUAAUCGAGAGAUUGUACGCUAGCGUUUUUUUUCUUCUAAUCCCUUAAAAAAUGCGGCGAACUUGUUGGAUCGGAAUUAAUGUUAAACGUUCUUGGAGACUUUGCAUCAAUAAUUGCUUUUUUGUUUAUGCACAAUUGCUCAAGGCAUGAUAUAUAGUAGUAUCUCUGUGCACUAUUGUGCUAUAGCAGAUAGGCACGAACAUCAAUGUAUCAUCUUAUGAAAGCAAACACGUAAAUGUGCGAAGGCGUCCUUUGUGAUCGUGUGCUACAAAUUUGAAUGUAUAGAAUCAGGUUGCUGUAUAUUGAAAGUUAGGUUCUAUUUUCUCUAUCUCUAAUAGGUUGGGGCCCUAACUCUUUUUUUAUUAUACAUUAAUGUUUUUCAAUCUUUAGGGAGGCAUUGUAUGAUUGUUUUUGCAUGUACUUCUGCCUUCAAAUUGCUCGGCGGUAUUUGAAAGUGCUCUCUCUCUCAUAUAUCUGUAGUUCUGUUGCUUCUGUUCCUGAGCAGGAUCCUGUUAUUAGUAGGACUUGUAUGAGUGUAUGCAUGCCUGUAUAAAUUGGGUGUGUUAUUAAGGUGUACAGUUCAAGAGAAUAAUUUUUUAUACAUGCCAUUGCUGUUGCCUCUAGUUAUCGGCUUUACAUGCCAGAAAUACGGCCGUGAAAGAGUCUGACUGCAGUCAUUUCACGAGCUCAGAUAUUUCUGGUUAAUUUAAGGCUUUGAGCAUUAAGAGCAUAUUUGAUGAACAUUAUUGGACAUCACUAGAUAGUACACAAUAGACAAAAAUUGUAACUUUCUGUUCUAUCUAAAUAUUAUUUAUUACUGGGAAAUUAACUUUACCAAAUAUUCCAUAGGUGUAUAGAAGGCUUUUUUGGCACUUGGGAUAUGAUAUCUGAU